AUGCAGGAGACCCCUGACACCACCGUGGAGCCUCUUUUUUGUGGCCAGCUGGAGCUUUCUGAACCCACCUGCAUGAUGCACCACAUGAGGCCAAUUAAGUGUGUGGCAUUUGAAGGAACCUUAACUGGAAGGCGUUUCUAUGGUUGUCCAGUGCAGCAGAGUGAAGGUGUUAACUUUGGUGUUACUGAGUGGGUUGACAAGCCCUGGCAUCCAAUUCUUCAGAAUUGCUUGUCUAGGCUGUGGGACAUGUACCAUGAACAGAAUUGUGGCAGGGUAGUUGAUAAGCAGAAGUAUGAGAAGCAUUUGGCCAAGCUUAAGACUGAAAAUGACAAGCUGUGUAUUGAGUACACAAAGCUUGUCCAAGAUGUAUCCAAGAUGUUUGAUUGGCAGGAUGGUAGGGUAGGCCACAUGGAUAACCAGAAGGCAGUUGAGGAGGAAGAAUUUGAGAAGAAGAAGAAAGAGGUAGAAGAGAGAGCUAGGUUGGAGGUUCAGAUGGAGAAGCUCAAACUUGCCAAGGAACAAAGGUGCAUUUUACAGAGUCAAGCUGACAUUAUCAAGAAUACCAGGAAGGCAAAGAAGGAGGUUGAAUAG
rnacentral:rRNA from 1 species